CUCAGCCAUGGGUCCCAGCUCUCUGGCUCUGCCAUUCCCUCAUUAGCUCAACCACUUCCACCUGCUGGUGCCACCUGCCAAUUACCAAUCAGUGUCUCUAUAUAACCUGUCCUGUUUCACUCCAUAGUUGCCAGAUGGUCUUUGCUCCCAUGCCUGACUCUCCAGGGGUUAUCUCCAGACUGAUCCCCUGUUGCUGACUCUGCCUGCUCCUGACCACUGCCUUUCAGCACAGCCCUGUCCUGAAUCUGUCUGAAGCCGUCUCUGAAUUCCCGGCACCAGCCCUGCCUGUUUCUGACCUUGCAUUUCGUCUAAGCCCUGUUUUAUCUCUGGAUCAACCAAAAUCGCAUCUGGAAGGACAAGCAUUUGCAUUCAGAGUCCAGCCCAGAGGAAAACCUGUUUACCUGGCAAGCGGGAGACUGGGGGUCGAUACCAACCUGUACCCACAGCAGUUGCAAACUGGUCAGGUUGCUCAACCUGACCUUACCCAUUAAUAAAUCAAGACAUUAAUAAAGCUUGUUCUUCCUUCA